GCUUUCCCCUUCAUAUCAUUUUCUUUCUCUGCGCUGCAACAACAACUAGGACGCAGCUUGGUUUCAAGUACCGUGAAGUGAAACAUAGAGAAAAGUUCUUGGUGGGGGAAUAGAAGCUUGACUUGAGAACUUUCUUUCAAUUAAAAGUGACAACUUUAAGGAAGCUUCAAGUAUCAAUUUUUUGAAGUCUAAAAUUAGGGUUGGAAAUUCUCAAAGAUUGAAUCAUUUGGAACUGCAAAUCUACAUCAUAUAUGAAGUUCUCGGGAUAUCUUACCGUAAGAUAAAGGGACAGCCCGUUGUAUAUGGUGGGAUUCAAAAUUGAGUUUGAAAAAAUGCGAAUAUCAAGAUGGAGAAGUCAACAUCUUAACGCCACUAGUCUUUUCAAGAGAUGGAAGAGAAGAAAUGAAGGGUAAAGUAUUUUCUACUUCCUCAACUCAAGCGGCGAAAAUGUAAAAAAAAUUCUACUUAUUGUGGAAGAAAGGUAAAAAACCUUUUGCUUAGUAUUUUUAAUGAAUAAAGUGAUACUACUUUUCAUGAACAUAAAGUGGUAUUCAAAUACUUGAAA